GACGAACGCUGGCGGCGUGCUUAACACAUGCAAGUCGAACGGAAAGGCCCUGCUCUUGUGGGGCGCUCGAUUGGCGAACGGGUGAGUAACACGUGAGUAACCUGUCCCUGUCAUUGGGAUAACUCUACGAAACAGGGGCUAAUACCGCAUAGGAUCUCCUGCUGCACGGUGGGGGUUGGAGAGUUUCGGCGGUUGGGGAUGGACUCGCGGGUUAUCAGCUUGUUAGUGAGGUAGUGGCUUUCCAAGGGUUUGAGGGGUAGCCGGCCUGAGAGGGUGACCGGCGACAAUGGGCCUAAGGGACGCCCCAGACUCCUACGGGAGGCAACAGUGGAGAAUAUUGCACAGUGGGCGGAAGCCUGAUGCGGCGGCGCCGCGUGCGGGAUAACGGCCUACGAGUUGUAAACCGAUGUCGCCUGUGACGAGGCGUGAGUGACGGUAAUGGGUAAAGAAGCAACGGCUAACUACGUG
rnacentral:rRNA from 1 species